AUUGGGCGUAAAGCGUCUAUAGGUGGCUUUUUAAGUCUGCCAUCAAAUCCCAGGGCUCAACCCUGGACAGGAGGUGGAAACUACCAAGCUGGAGUACGGUAGGGCAGAGGGAAUUUCCGGUGGAGCGGUGAAAUGCGUAGAGAUCGGAAAGAACACCAACUGCGAAAGCACUCUGUUGGGCCGACAAUGACACUGAGAGACGAAAGCUAGCGAAGCACGUGGCC
rnacentral:rRNA from 1 species